UUCAACAUCGGCCUCGGUUGGCUUCCCGCUCGCUCAUGCUGACCGCGCAGGUUAGAGGUGCGGAGGGUGGAUCAGGCCCGGAGCGGAGGUCUCAGGCUGGGAGCGGGGAUUGCCCCUGAAGUGCAACGCAAAGUGGGGGCAGGGAAGCGGCUCGGGAGGAGCCCGGGCAGGGUGGCUUGCACCAUGGAUGGGCGUGUGAGGACGAACGGAGGGGCCUGGGCAUGGUGCGCUGCGAACGGGCUGGGCGAAGGAGCCUAGGCAGGGAAGCAACAGAGGGUCCUGUGGCACCUUUGAGACUAACAGAAGUAUGGGGAGCAUAAGCUUUCGUGGUCACUGCUUUACCAAGAGAACUGAGAAGGGAAAAGGAACUGCUUUACCAGGAAAAGGCACUAACACACAAGAACAGAAUGCAGGAGACACAGCACAUAAAGGAAACACCUAAAGGAAAACAUCAGUCUGCAAAAACAGGGCAUUGCUGGAAACAGGGGUGAACUAAUUAAAGAGGAGACUAAAACAAAGGUUUUCCCCUUCAGAGGUGCUCUGCAAGUGAUUUUUUUUAACUGAACUUGUUCCCUUUUUUACUUCCUAUGAUACAAAGAACUUAGAAAACUUUUUCCUUUAUUAAAGAUUGUUCUGUUCCUUAUCUUAAGUGCCAGGAAUGUCAACUCUACUCUUCCUUAGUUUUGCUGCAAGAUCCACUUGAUAUCUCAAAGAAUGUAUAUUGUUAACUCUUACACCCUAACUUAAUGGAUGGAAGAUGGUGAAUCUUUACUGUUUUGGAGAAAGAAUAUUGCUAGUGAUUCAAGUUAAAAAGGUGUUAACAAAAAAAAUUUAAACAGUCAUCAGACCUAUUUCCUGUUAUUUGUUUAAAUGUUAUUUCAAUCUUGGCCUGCGUUUUCCAAACAUGGAUGCCUGAAGUUAGGUGCCAAAAACCAUAUUUAGCUCCUAAAAUAAAAAGUGGUGAUAGGUACUGGCAGCUCCUAGUGACUUCAGUAUGUGAAGAGAGGAUAUUCGUGAAACCUACAGAAGAAUUCUGUGUAUGAGGUCAAAAUAUUGCAACACAUGGAAUAUUGCAACAGUUUGUAAAUGAUGUGAUAAAGAAGUAGCUGGAUAUGGGUAGGAGGCUAUUACAUCAAAUUCAACACAGAACACAGCCUAUAAACAAAAGAGAUCAUACUGGAUUAUUUCCUUCUGAAUGAUCAUUUUAAAACAAUAUGAUAUCAGCACUGGCCAUGGCCAUUAUGAGUUUCAGAGUGUACAGUUAAAAUGCUAAUGGAUAUGAAAAGGGAAACUUGGCAACCAGUAGAACACUGAUUUUUUUUUAAAGCAAAAUGUUAAUUUAGAAGGUAUACUUAUGUGCUGGUCUCUUAUUACCCUUGCACUACCAUGUGUCCCUAUUAUAAGCUUCUCUUUGUUUCUCACAGCUAAUACAAUGAAGGGGGAGGCAAUGGCAAAUAAUGGGCUGAGUGACAUCAGACUGAAAAUGCAGAUGUCAGACAAAACGGAUAUACAGCUUGGCUAACGAAGCCAGAGCCUGCAGCAAGAAGUUGUCAAUAAUGCUUUGCUAUAUCAAGUUAUUUAACAUUUACAAAAUUCACUGCAAAAAUUUACUGUUAAUGCAACAUCGUUGUUGAGAAUUUACAGUAUCUGCAAAGGAGACAGGAAAUUCAGACUACUCCAGCUUUACCUGUAACAAAAUGCUCAGCAGCUCAGGUUGCUAUGUGUAUGUCAUUCUGGUGCUCCAGUCACUCAGCUGGCUUGCCAUUGAAUAAAGAGUCCAAUUUAA